GUAUAAGAGACAGCAGCCGCCGCGGUAAUACGAAGGGUGCAAGCGUUACUCGGAAUUACUGGGCGUAAAGCGUGCGUAGGUGGUGGUUUAAGUCCGUUGUGAAAGCCCUGGGCUCAACCUGGGAAUUGCAGUGGAUACUGGGUCACUAGAGUGUGGUAGAGGAUAGUGGAAUUUCCGGUGUAGCAGUGAAAUGCGUAGAGAUCGGAAGGAACAUCUGUGGCGAAGGCGACUAUCUGGGCCAACACUGACACUGAGGCACGAAAGCGUGGGGAGCAAACAGGAUUAGAUACCCCAGUAGUCCCUGUCUCUUAUAC
rnacentral:rRNA from 1 species